rnacentral:rRNA from 1 species
GACGCGCGUAGGCGGUUAGUUUAAGUUAGAGGGUGUGAAAUCCCCUGGGGCUCAACCUAGGAACUGCAUUUCAAACUGGAUAACUUGAGUAUGUCAGAGGGUAUUGGAAUUUCCCCGUGUAGCAGUGAAAAUGCGUAGAUAUGGGAAGGAACAUCAGUGGCGAAGGCGAAUACCUGGGAUAAUACUGACGCUGAGGUGCGAAAGCGUGGGGAGCAAACGGGAUUAGAUACCCCUGGUAG